UGUGACUUUACGCCAAAGAUCCGCCUGGACGAGGCCUACUUUUGGGCAGGUUUGGUUGGGUCUUCCAAAAGACACUGGUGAUUUUUUUUUUUUAAUGACUAAAAACAAAAGCACUUCUUCUUUUUUUGCCUUCUACAAAGAUUGCAUAUCUGCCAUUUUUUAAAGCAGUAACUUUUGCACUAUGUCUUUUUAAGUGAAGUCCGUUCUCGAGCCUCUUUUUUUCACCGAGGGCCACCUCAGAAAACACUCAAGUGCCGGAGUAAUGUCCAACAUGAAUGUGGGGUAGCGUAGUAGGCCUAAGUAUUCAUCAAAAACAAGGCAGAGGGUUUAUUUGACAAUAUUUUUGUCCACUGUAACAUUACACGCAAUGUAUAAAUAUUGGGGGGGUAAAAGCAUAGUAGGCCUACGUAUUCAUUGAAAACAAGGCAGAGGGUUUAUUUGACAAUAUUGUUGUCCACUGUAACAUUACACACAAUGCACAAACAUUGGGGGUGAGAGGUAAUAGCAUUUAAUUUGACUGUAUUAGCGUAGUAGGCCUAAAUAUUCAUUGAAAACAAGGCAAAGGGGUUUUCGACCAUAUUUUUGUCCACUGUAACUUUACACACAAUGCAUAAAUAUUGGGGGGUGAGAGGUAAUAGCAUUUAUCUCGACUGCAGUAGCAUAGUAGGCCUAAGUAUUCAUAGAAAACACGGCAGAGGGUUUACUUGACAAGCACAGCAUUACACACAAUGCACAAACAUUGGGGGUGAGAGGUAAUGUUUAUCUUGACUGCAGUAGCAUAGUAGGCCUAAAUAUUCAUUGAAAACAAGGCAAGGGGUUUUUUGACAAUAUUUUUGUCCACUGUAACUUUACACACAAUGCAUAAAAAUUGGGGGGUGAGAGGUAAUAGCAUUUAUCUCGACUGCAGUAGCGUGUUAGUAAUGUCCAACAGGAAUGUGCGGUAGCCUAGUAGACCUAAGUAUUCAUAAAAAACAAGGCAGAUGGUUUAUUCGACUAUUUUUGUCCACUGUAACAUUACACACAAUGCUUAAAUAUUGGGGGGGUGAGAGGUAAUAGCAUCUAUCUUGAUUGCAGUAGCAUAGUAGGCCUAAGUAUUCAUAGAAAACACGGCAGAGGGUUUACUUGACAAGCACAGCAUUACACACAAUGCACAAACAUUGGGGGUAAGAGGUAAUGACAUUUAUAUUGCCCGCAUUAGCAUAGUAUGCCUAAGUAUUCAUAGAAAACAAGGCCGAGGGUUUAUUUGACAAUAUUUUUGUCCACUGUAACUUUACACACAAUGCAUGAAUAUUGGGGGGUGAGAGGUAAUAGCAUUUAUCUUGACUGCAGUAGCAUACUAUGCCCAAGUAUUUAUAAAAAACAAGGCAGGGGGUUUAUUUGACAAUAUUUUUGUCCACUUUAACAUGACACACAAUGCAUAAAAAUUGGGGGGUGAGAGGUAAUAGGAUUUAUCUUGACUGCAGUAGCAUAGUAGGCCUAAAUAUUCAUUGAAAAUAAGGCAAAGGGGUUUUUUGACAAUAUUUUUGUCCACUGUAACUUUACACACAAUGCAUAAAUAUCGGGGGGUGAGAGGUAAUAGCAUUUAUCUCGACUGCAGUAGCGUAUUAGUAAUGGCCAACAUGAAUGCGGUAGCCUAGUAGGCCUAAGUAUUCAUAGAAAACAAGGCAGAUGGUUUAUUUGACAAUAUUUUCGUUCACUGUAACGUUACUGCAUUAAUAUUGGGAGGGAGUGGGAGGUAAUAGCAUUUAUCUCGACUGCAGUAGUGUAGUAGGCCUAAAUAUUCAUUGAAAACAAGGUAAAGGCUUUAUUUGACAAUAUUUUUGUCCACUGUAACAUUACACACAAUGCACAAACAUUAGGGGUGAGAGGUAAUAGCAUUUAUCUCGACUGCAGUAGCGUAGUAGUAAUGUCCAACAUGAAUGUGCGGUAGCGUAGUUGGCCUAAGUACUCAUAGAAAACUAGUCGGAGGGUUUUUUGACAAUAUUUUUGUCCACUGUCACAUUACAAACAAUGCACAAACAUUGGGGGUGAGAGGUAAUAUUAUUUAUCUUGCCUUCAGUAGCAUAGUAGGCCUAAGUAUUCAUAAAAAACAAGGCAGAGGGUUUAUUGACAAUAUUUUUGUCCACUGUACACACAAUUACAUAAAUAUUGGGGGGUGAGAGGUAAUAGCAUUUAUCUCGACUGCAGUAGCGUAGUAGUCAUUUCCAACAUGAAUGUGCGGUAGCGUAGUAAGCUUAAGUAUUCAUUAAAAACAAGGCAAAUGGUUUAUUUGACAAUAUUUUGUCCACUGUAACAUUACACACAAUGCAUAAAUAUUGGGGGGGGGAGAGGUAAUAGCAUUUAGCUCGACUGCAGUAGCAUUGUAGGCCUAAGUAUUCAUAAAAAACAAGGCAGAGGGUUUAUUGACAAUAUUUGUGUCCACUGUACACACAAUUACAUAAAUAUUGGAGGGGGGGUGAGAGGUAAUAGCAUUUAUCUCGACUGCAGUAGCGUAGUAGUAAUUUCCAACAUGAAUGUGCGGUAGCGUAGUAUUCAUAGGAAACAAGGAAGAGGGUUUAUUUGACAAUAUUUUUGUCCACUGUAACAUUACACACAAUGCAUAAAUAUUGGGGGGUGAGAGGUAGAAGCAUUUAUCUCUACUGCAGUAGCGUAGUAGGCCUAAAUAUUCAUUGAAAAAAAGGCAAAGGGGUUUUUUGACAAUAUUUUUGUCCACUGUAACUUUACACACAAUGCACAAACAUUGGGGGGUGAGAGGUAAUAGCAUUUAUCUCGACUGCAGUAGCAUAGUAGGCCUAAGUAUUCAAUGAAAACAAGGCAAAGGGUAUAUUUGACAAAUAUAUUUCAUAUUUUUGUCCACUGUAACAUUACACACAAUGCACAAACAUUGAGGGUGAGAGGUAAUAGCAUUUAUCUCGACUGCAGUAGCAUAGUAGGCCUAAGUAUCCAUUGAAAACAAGGAGUGGGAACAAAUAGUGCCUAGGAAAGUUCAACUGUGUGCAAGUUCCAAGCCCCUUUUUAAUGGUGUGCCUGCAGGGGGCGCUGUGAGCUGCAUGGGAGGCAAUAGCAUCAGUCAAACUUUUUGCAGCAGGUUUAAGUGCACUUAUGUUUGUCAUCUCCAUUUAGCUUCUAAUGCUUUUACUUGUGUGUUUAAACAGUAUUUCGGCCAAAAUGAUUGUCGUUUUUUUUAUUUUUAAUUUCAUACAUUUUUCAUGUGUUUGCCACCCAGCGAAACUGACUGUGGUCCCUUGUUUAUCGCUGUUAAUUGGUUCCGGACACGAGCGCGGAAAAGUACAUUUCCGGGAAGUGGGAAUAAUAAAAACGAAUGUUUACACAA